rnacentral:rRNA from 1 species
UUAGUUCAACGGCCGCGGUAUCCUAACCGUGCAAAGGUAGCAUAAUCACUUGCCCAUUACUUGUGGGCUGGAAUGAAAGGAGAACGAAAUAAAAGCUGUCUCUAUAAGCUCAAUAAAAAUUAAUCUCUAAUUGAAGAACAUUAGAUAACGUCGAAGGACAAAAACACCCUAAACAGCUUUAUUCUAAUAUAACCUAAAAUUUUACUAAAAUUCGGUUGGGGCGACCAGGGAAAUUAUUAAUCAUCCCUUAACAACAGAUGAAUAAAUCACUUAUCUGACCCUAAAACAAGAUCAACAAAACAAGCUACCUUAGGGAUAACAGGCUAAUUCCAUUAGAGAGUCCUUAUUAAUAAUGGAGUUUGGCACCUCGAUGUUGGCUUAGGGAAUCUCUACCGCGCCAAAAUCGUAUAAAGAUGGUUUGUUCAACCAAUAACACCCUACGUGAUCUGAGUUCAGACCGGA